rnacentral:rRNA from 1 species
CACCUCUAGCAUAACUAGUAUUAGAGGCACUGCCUGCCCAGUGACAAUCGUUAAACGGCCGCGGUAUCUUGACCGUGCAAAGGUAGCAUAAUCACUUGUUCUCUAAAUAAGGACUUGUAUGAAUGGCCACACGAGGGUUUUACUGUCUCUUACUCUUAAUCAGUGAAAUUGACCUCCCCGUGAAGAGGCGGGGAUAACACAAUAAGACGAGAAGACCCUAUGGAGCUUUAAUUAAUCAACUCAAAAAGCAUAAAAUAACACCACUAAGGGAUAACAAAGCUUUAUAUGAGCUGACAAUUUCGGUUGGGGUGACCUCGGAGUAUAAAAAACCCUCCGAGUGAUUAAAACUUAGGCUUACUAGCCAAAGUACAAUAUCACUUAUUGAUCCAAAAUUUUGAUCAACGGAACAAGUUACCCUAGGGAUAACAGCGCAAUCCUAUUCUAGAGUCCAUAUCGACAAUAGGGUUUACGACCUCGAUGUUGGAUCAGGACAUCCUAAUGGUGCAGCAGCUAUUAAGGGUUCGUUUGUUCAACGAUUAAAGUCCU